UUCUCUUUAACACUUUCCAGCAACCAAAUCCAAUUUUUUCAGCCAUUACAUCCAGCUAAGCCCACUCCAUCAUCCAGUCAGCCCAGCCCACUAACAAUACUAAAAAGACAAUCCCCAUCAUAAAAACACGUACAACCUACCCAUCACAUUUCUUCUUCUUCUUCUACAGGACGAACCCAAAAACGAAACCCAGAACCUCAGAGCGACCCAGAAUCGCAAACCCAAAUCCAGUGAGCCCAAUGCAGAGUGUAUCUCUCUCUCUCUAUCCCUUGUCUUCUUCUUAUGGGAAUAAUCCAGAUGUUACAAUCUUGAUGAUGGUUCCUCCUUGCUCCUCGAACCGGACGACUCUCCUUUCAAAUCCAUUUGGAAUUUGUACUCAUUCGAGAGGGUAGCCUUAUAUCUUAAUGAUAUUUAAAUUUGAAUUUGAAAUUCAUCCAAUAUUUCACACGAAUUUCCCCCAAAAUCAUGCCCUAAUUCCUCCUAUAAAAUCCCCUCAUCAUCUUCAUUAUAAAAAGGUUAGAGAUAGCUUACAUUAGGAGAGAAAAUAGAGAAAGAAAAGGGAGUCGGGAGAAUUUAGCAGGAAAUUGAGAUAAACACAGUGAAAUACUACACAUAUAUAAACAUCCAAGAAAUAGAAUUUGAAAGUCAUAGAAAGGAGGAACAGAGAUUUGGGUCUCUUUUGAUUCUGCUCUGUUCAUCAGCUCUCUUGGAGUUGCAUUUUGGUAGCGGUGAAGUCGCUACUCCUGCACUCGUCUAGUCUCAGUUCCGCUGUCUCGAGAAAGACACACGUAUUCAGGAUCAUCAAUAGGAGCUUUUUUGAUACAUCCGAGAGUUCGAGUUAGCUAUGGUGAACCCCUUGUUUUCGGAAGAUUUCAGUUACUUUUCAGUUUAGUCGGGAUGUCGUGGGUCUUGUCUCGACUUCCAUCUUUAUCAGUUAGAGGCUUCAUAGAUAGUCACUUUAGUUAAGAAGCCUAUACUAUUCAUUUGUUUUAUUAAAUGUUUUAAAGACUUAAGUUGCUAUUUUAUGGUGAGUUUAAUAUAUGAUUUUCAUUCAAAGUUGGUCAUUUGAGUUAAAACCUUUGUAAAGUUUAUUUUAUUGAAUUUUACUUCAGUUUUAAGUUUUUGCA